ACGAACGCUGGCGGCGUGCUUAACACAUGCAAGUCGAACGGAAAGGCCCUGCUUUUGUGGGGUGCUCGAGUGGCGAACGGGUGAGUAACACGUGAGUAACCUGCCCUUGACUUUGGGAUAACUUCAGGAAACUGGGGCUAAUACCGGAUAGGAGCUCCUGCUGCAUGGUGGGGGUUGGAAAGUUUCGGCGGUUGGGGAUGGACUCGCGGCUUAUCAGCUUGUUGGUGGGGUAGUGGCUUACCAAGGCUUUGACGGGUAGCCGGCCUGAGAGGGUGACCGGCGACAUUGGGAAUGAGAUACGGCCCAGACUCAUACGGGAGGCAGCAGUGGGGAAUAUUGCACAAUGGGCGGAAGCCUGAUGCAGCAACGCAGCGUGCGGGAUGACGGCCUUCGGGUUGUAAACCGAUUUCGCCUGUGACGAAGCGUGAGUGACGGUAAUGGGUAAAGAAGCACCGGCUAACUACGUG
rnacentral:rRNA from 1 species